rnacentral:rRNA from 1 species
AACGCGAAGAACCUUACCAGGUCUUGACAUCCUCUGACAACCCUAGAGAUAGGGCUUUCCCUUCGGGGACAGAGUGACAGGUGGUGCAUGGUUGUCGUCAGCUCGUGUCGUGAGAUGUUGGGUUAAGUCCCGCAACGAGCGCAACCCUUGAUCUUAGUUGCCAGCAUUUAGUUGGGCACUCUAAGGUGACUGCCGGUGACAAACCGGAGGAAGGUGAGGAUGACGUCAAAUCAUCAUGCCCCUUAUGACCUGGGCUACACACGUGCUACAAUGGACAGAACAAAGGGCUGCGAGACCGCAAGGUUUAGCCAAUCCCACAAAUCUGUUCUCAGUUCGGAUCGCAGUCUGCAACUCGACUGCGUGAAGCUGGAAUCGCUAGUAAUCGCGGAUCAGCAUGCCGCGGUGAAUACGUUCCCGGGUCUUGUACACACCG